rnacentral:rRNA from 1 species
GUGUCCCCUCGCACAACAAUCCAUCUCACCCUUUUGUGCAUCACCGCGUGGGCUCCCUUCUCGGAGGGGGCUCGCGUUUUCACACAAACCCCCCUUUUAAAAGUGUAGAAUGACCUCAUGUAUGCGUUAACCCGCAAUCAAUACAACUUUCAACAACGGAUCUCUUGGCUCUCGCAUCGAUGAAGAACGCAGCGAAAUGCGAUACGUAAUGUGAAUUGCAGAAUUCAGUGAAUCAUCGAAUCUUUGAACGCACCUUGCGCCCCUUGGUAUUCCGAGGGGCACACCCGUUUGAGUGUCGUGAAAACCUCAACCUCCUUGGUUUCUUCUGGAGACCAAAGCAGGCUUGGACUUUGGAGGCCUUUGCUGGCACCUCUCUUUUCUGAAGGCAGCUCCUCUUAAACAAUUAGCAGGGUCCUCUUUGCUGAUCCUCGACGUGUGAUAAGAUGUUUCCAUGUCUUGGUUUCUGGCUCUGUCACCUUUGGGACCUGCUUCUAACUGUCCGGA